AUUGAACGCUGGCGGCAUGCCUUACACAUGCAAGUCGAACGGUAACAGGUCUUCGGAUGCUGACGAGUGGCGAACGGGUGAGUAAUACAUCGGAACGUGCCCGAUCGUGGGGGAUAACGAAGCGAAAGCUUUGCUAAUACCGCAUACGAUCUACGGAUGAAAGCGGGGGAUCUUCGGACCUCGCGCGGACGGAGCGGCCGAUGGCAGAUUAGGUAGUUGGUGGGAUAAAAGCUUACCAAGCCGACAAUCUGUAGCUGGUCUGAGAGGAUGAUCAGCCACACUGGGACUGAGACACGGCCCAGACUCCUACGGGAGGCAGCAGUGGGGAAUUUUGGACAAAGGGCGCAAGCCUGAUCCAGCCAUGCCGCGUGCAGGAUGAAGGCCUUCGGGUUGUAAACUGCUUUUGUACGGAACGAAAAGGUGCCUUCUAAUAAAGGGCGCUCAUGACGGUACCGUAAGAAUAAGCACCGGCUAACUACGUG
rnacentral:rRNA from 1 species